GUAUCACCAGCCGCCCUGUCCCUUGUUUUGUGGCCAACCUCAGGAGGAUGGCCAAAGUAAGCAAAACCAGAUGUCAACUUCAUACCACAUUUAUCAGAGCCGAGAGACUAAUUUCCUGGUACAAAAAUACUACUUCAUCAGAAAGAUUAAAACGUCCGUCUGUCGGAUUACAGCAUUAAGCAAGGUUCAUGCCCAUUGAAGAGUUCCUUUGAAGCCACUUGGAGAAAAAGGCUUUAUUUUUUUUCAAAGGUGAAGACUUUAGAAAUGACUAAUGAAAGUAAUAUAAUGCAUAUUUUCUAUUUGGAAAUGAAGUUUGGGCUGUGUUGCAUGUAUAUGACUGUGGGGACUACACUGUACGCUGGAUUCUGGCACAGAGGAUGUAAUAAAAGAAACCGGCCUCUCCUGAACUCA